rnacentral:rRNA from 1 species
GAUGAACGCUGGCGGCGUGCCUAAUACAUGCAAGUAGAACGCUGAAGGAAGGAGCUUGCUCUUUCCGGAUGAGUUGCGAACGGGUGAGUAACGCGUAGGUAACCUGCCUGGUAGCGGGGGAUAACUAUUGGAAACGAUAGCUAAUACCGCAUAACAGUAGAUGUUGCAUGAUAUCUACUUAAAAGGUGCAAUUGCACCACUACCAGAUGGACCUGCGUUGUAUUAGCUAGUUGGUGAGGUAACGGCUCACCAAGGCGACGAUACAUAGCCGACCUGAGAGGGUGAUCGGCCACACUGGGACUGAGACACGGCCCAGACUCCUACGGGAGGCAGCAGUAGGGAAUCUUCGGCAAUGGACGGAAGUCUGACCGAGCAACGCCGCGUGAGUGAAGAAGGUUUUCGGAUCGUAAAGCUCUGUUGUAAGAGAAGAACGAGUGUGAGAGUGGAAAGUUCACACUGUGACGGUAGCUUACCAGAAAGGGACGGCUAACUACGUG